rnacentral:tRNA from 1 species
GCCGGCAUAGCUCAGUUGGCAGAGCAACUGACUUGUAAUCAGUAGGUCGUUGGUUCGAUUCCGACUCCCGGCUCCA